rnacentral:rRNA from 1 species
GAUGAACGCUGACCGAAUGCUUAACACAUGCAAGUCUUUGGCGAAGCUGUGCUUGCACAGCCUAGCCAAGGCGGACGGGUGAGUAACGCGUAAGGAACUUGCCCUGCAGUCAGGGAUAACAGACGGAAACGACUGAUAAGACCUGGUAAAGUCAGGCGGACUCAUGUCCAGCCUGAUGAAAAGAGAUGCUGCAGGAGAGCCUUGCGUCCUAUUAGCUUGUUGGUGGGGUAACGGCCCACCAAGGCGAUGAUAGGUAGCCGGCCUGAGAGGGUGGACGGCCACAAGGGGACUGAGAUACGGCCCUUACUCCUACGGGAGGCAGCAGUAGGGAAUAUUGGACAAUGGGGGCAACCCUGAUCCAGCAAUUCUGUGUGCACGAUGAAGGUUUUCGGAUUGUAAAGUGCUUUCAGCAGGGAAGAAAAAAUGACGGUACCUGCAGAAGAAGCGACGGCUAAAUACGUG